GAGCGGACUUCCGGUAGGUGAGACCUGCUGCUGGAAGCCGACCCCAGAGGAAUUCCGAUCCGGUGCCCCUCGGCCGGAAGCCACUGUUAGGAGCCAUUUCCGCAGCAGGUGACAGGAUUUGGAACGCACUUGGGAAGAAUAAGUAAGAGCGCUAAUUAUUCAUGGUUAAAAAAAAAACAAAAAACAACAGCAGCUUGAGAGCAAGAAGAAACCGGACCCUGCCCUAUUUCCACACAUCAUGGAUGAAGAAGUCAAGUUACCGGAAAAUCAGAAAUUCCCUUUCAGAACCCCUUUCAGACUGGUUCUAGACCUCUCCACGGUGGACCCCAAACAGCAGCCACGUGCGUUUUCUCAUUUCAAAUCUGCAAGACCUCUGCGAGGUAGGAACUCCUGUCCCCACUCUACAGGCAGGAACACUGAGGCUCGGCAGAGUGAAGUCAUGCAGAAUCAGGGGGUGAAGAGAGCAGAACUUGGUCUCCAGCCCAGCUGUGUGGGAUUCCCCCACUAUGAUGACACACUGCCACAUGCCAGGUGGCUUAAAACAACAGAAAUGUAUUCUGUGACUGUUCCCGUGGCCAGAAGUCUGAAAAUCAAGGGCCGCAUUCGCUCUGAAGGCUCUAGGGAAGAUUCUUUGCCUUCUCUCUUCAGCUUCUGGUAGCUGCCAGAUUCUUUGGCUUACGACUGCAUCACUGAUCUCUGGUCCGUGUUAUCA